rnacentral:rRNA from 1 species
UACGGAGGGUGCAAGCGUUAAUCGGAAUUACUGGGCGUAAAGCGCACGUAGUCGGCUUUGCAAGCCGGUUGUGAAAUCCCCGGGCUCAACCUGGGAACUGCAUCCGGGACUGCAUUGCUAGAGUAUGGGAGAGGGAAGCGGAAUUUCUGGUGUAGCAGUGAAAUGCGUAGAUAUCAGAAGGAACAUCAGUGGCGAAGGCGACUACCUGGCCUGUUCUUGACGCUGAGGCGCGAAAGCUAGGGGAGCAAACGGG